CACCAUUUGAAACAUGUGGUCUCCAAGGUCACUGCACCAGGGGGAAAGAGGGCUGGAAGACCCAGAAAAAAUAUUUCUAAGACCUGGGCCUGAAUGGAUUUAGACCAUUUCUCCCACAACUCAUUGGCUUGAGCUCAGUCACUUGGCUCCAUCAACGUGAAAACAAGGCUGGACAACAAGUCAUCUUCUGUGGCUAGAAGGAAGAAUUGAGAAUGAAAGCAGACAGAGAUACUGUCCUGAUUAUAUCAUUUGAGCUUUGCAAGCGACUUCAUAUGUGUUCCUGUCCUUUUUUGCAAGUACGAUUGUCACCUGCUCCAUGAAGUGUCUUGAUCACAUUCGGUACACAGCUCUAUCAGUUCACAUAAUUCUCAUGGGCAGCAUGGCAUAGAAGUUACCUGCGGUCAACCUCUGUCCGGAAGCAGACGAUCCUCCUUGUGAUGAAUUGUCAGAAGGUCACUAGUAGCCUAACAAUACAUCACAACGCCUACGUCAUUCACCUCACUUCAUCUCAACAUGCAAGCGUUUUAUCAUCUCACAUCAUCACAAGAGGAAAAAGAGCUUCUGAUGUGUCUACCUGCAAGGCCAAGUGCAGUAAUUUGUGAGCAUGAGUUCAUCCAGUCAUUAAUAAAUACUUUACAGCAUCUAUAUACCAGGCACUGUGUUUGGUUCUAGG
rnacentral:lncRNA from 1 species